AUUGAACGCUGGCGGCAUGCCUUACACAUGCAAGUCGAACGGCAGCACGGGUGCUUGCACCUGGUGGCGAGUGGCGAACGGGUGAGUAAUACAUCGGAACAUGUCCUGUAGUGGGGGAUAGCCCGGCGAAAGCCGGAUUAAUACCGCAUACGAUCUACGGAUGAAAGCGGGGGACCUUCGGGCCUCGCGCUAUAGGGUUGGCCGAUGGCUGAUUAGCUAGUUGGUGGGGUAAAGGCCUACCAAGGCGACGAUCAGUAGCUGGUCUGAGAGGACGACCAGCCACACUGGGACUGAGACACGGCCCAGACGCCUACGGGAGGCAGCAGUGGGGAAUUUUGGACAAUGGGCGAAAGCCUGAUCCAGCAAUGCCGCGUGUGUGAAGAAGGCCUUCGGGUUGUAAAGCACGUUUGUCCGGAAAGAAAUCCUUGGCCCUAAUACGGUCGGGGGGAUGACGGUACCGGAAGAAUAAGCACCGGCUAACUACGUG
rnacentral:rRNA from 1 species